UACGAAGGGGGCUAGCGUUGUUCGGAAUUACUGGGCGUAAAGCGCGCGCAGGCGGUUCUUCAAGUCAGAGGUGAAAGCCCAGAGCUCAACUCUGGAAUGGCCUUUGAGACUAGAGAACUAGGGUACGGGAGAGGUGAGUGGAAUUCCGAGUGUAGAGGUGAAAUUCGUAGAUAUUCGGAAGAACACCAGUGGCGAAGGCGGCUCACUGGCCCGUUACCGACGCUCAGGCGCGACAGCGUGGGAGCAAACAGG
rnacentral:rRNA from 1 species